UACAGAGGUGGCAAGCGUUGUUCGGAAUUACUGGGCGUAAAGGGCGCGUAGGCGGUCUUGUAAGUCCCGUGUGAAAUCCCUCGGCUCAACUGAGGAACUGCACGGGAAACUGCUUGGCUUGAGUUCGGGAGAGGGAAGCGGAAUUCCGGGUGUAGCGGUGAAAUGCGUAGAUAUCCGGAGGAACACCGGUGGCGAAGGCGGCUUCCUGGACCGACACUGACGCUGAGGCGCGAAAGCUAGGGGAGCAAACGGG
rnacentral:rRNA from 1 species